ACUCCUACGGGAGGCAGCAGUGGGGAAUAUUGCACAAUGGGCGCAAGCCUGAUGCAGCCAUGCCGCGUGUAUGAAGAAGGCCUUGGGUUGUAAAGUACUUUCAGCAGUGAGGAAGGUGGGUAUGUUAAUAGCAUAUUCAUUUGACGUUAGCUGCAGAAGAAGCACCGGCUAACUCCGUGCCAGCAGCCGCGGUAAUACGGAGGGUGCGAGCGUUAAUCGGAAUUACUGGGCGUAAAGCGCAUGCAGGUGGUUUGUUAAGUCAGAUGUGAAAGCCCGGGGCUCAACCUCGGAAUUGCAUUUGAAACUGGCAAACUAGAGUACUGUAGAGGGGGUAGAAUUUCAGGUGUAGCGGUGAAAUGCGUAGAGAUCUGAAGGAAUACCGGUGGCGAAGGCGGCCCCCUGGACAGAUACUGACACUCAGAUGCGAAAGCGUGGGGAGCAAACAGGAUUAGAU
rnacentral:rRNA from 1 species